UUGGUCAAUGGCCGAAAGGCUGAACCAGUAACUUGGAAGAAUGUAACUGUAUUUGUAUAAAUACAAUAGCGAUUAAUUCGCAUAAAAUUCUAAAUAGAUUGUAUAUAAUGACAUAAUCUAUUUAUAAGUCUUGACCAAACUACGUGCCAGCAGUCGCGGUAAUACGUAGGAGGCUAGUGUUAGUUAUCUUUAUUGGGUUUAAAGGGUAUGUAGACGGUAAAUUAAACUUUAAAAAAGUACUUUUUUACUAGAGUUAUAUGUGAGAAGGAAGAAUUCUUGGAGUAGAGAUAGAAUUUGUUGAUACCAAGAGGACUGUCAACGGCGAAGGCGUCCUUCUAUGUAAUAACUGACGUUGAGAGACGAAGGCUUGGGUAGCAAACAGGAUUAGAUACCCUAAUAGUCCAAGCAGACAAUGAUGAAUGUCAUACAUUAGAUAAUUUUAAUGUAUAAACGAAAGUGUAAGCAUUCCACCUCAAGAGUACUAUGGCAACAUAUAAACUGAAAUCAUUAGACCGUUUCUGAAACCAGUAGUGAAGUAU
rnacentral:rRNA from 1 species